CAGCACCCGCGGUAUCCCCUCCUACAAAUGGUUUAUGAUGAGCUGCACCGUGGCAAGAUACUAGAGGAGCGUACGGAGGUUUUGAGGCCUCUACGUCCCCGCCUUCACAAGACUCACACUUGGGACGAUAGGUACGCACCGUACCUUAAACGGGCUGGAUUCCUCCCGUUGGCGUGGUUGGUCAAGGAUGGGCUCCCCGGGAUGGAUAAUGCAGCUCUGACAGCACUUGUUGACCGAUGGAGGCCUGAGAGGCACACAUUCCAUCUUCCUGCCGGUGAGAUGACCAUUACACUACAAGAUGUGGCUAUGCUCUUUGGACUUCAUAUAGAUGGCAGAGCUGUGACCGGGAGCAUAUGUCCAAAUGGAUGGAGAGAUAGAGUGGAGUUGUUGUUUGGAGUGCACCCACCUGAACCACCAGAAGACAAGAAGGUCAAGAAGCCUACAGGAGUGACGUCAGCAUGGUUGUCGGAUCAUUUUGGUACGCCACCUCCAGCUCAUGCUCCUGAAGGGGUGGUUGUUAGGUUCGCCCGAGCGUGGCUAUGGCAAUUGGUCGCAGGGUUUCUAUUCCUGGAUUCGAGCGGGAACACAAUCUCAUGGAUGUGGAUAGAAAUAAUUGGUUAGGAUUGGGACAACAUUUGCAGUUUCAAUUAAGGAAAUGCAGCACUUGGAUGGUUGUACCGUCAGAUGUGUGAUGCGUGUAGGCGGAGCGGAGAUAAUACAAAUCUUGGGGGUUGUGCUUACCUUUUGCAAUUGUGGAUGUGGGAGCGCAUUCCUAUUGGCAGGCCCGAGAGGCAUAGUAUUGGGGUUGUUCCAUCAUACGAGGAAGAGGCGGUGGGUACUGUGGGUUGGCUGUGGAACAAUAGUGAAAUCGUGCACGGGAAUCCAGGAAGACGGUACGUAGAUUACAACAAUGCUCUUGACUGCCUCAGCGCUG